rnacentral:rRNA from 1 species
GUGAAAGGCUAAACAAACUCGGAGAUAGCUGGUUCUCCCCGAAAACUAUUUAGGUAGUGCCUCGAGUAUGAGACUGAUGGGGGUAAAGCACUGUUAUGGCUAGGGGGUUAUUGCAACUUACCAACCCAUGGCAAACUAAGAAUACCAUCAAGUUGCUCCUCGGGAGACAGACAUCGGGUGCUAACGUCCGGUGUCAAGAGGGAAACAACCCAGACCGCCAGCUAAGGUCCCAAAUGAUAGAUUAAGUGGUAAACGAAGUAGGAAGGCACAGACAGCCAGGAUGUUGGCUUAGAAGCAGCCAUCAUUCAAAGAAAGCGUAAUAGCUCACUGGUCGAGUCUUCCUGCGCGGAAGAUGUAACGGGGCUCAAAUCUAUAACCGAAGCUGCGGAUAUACUUUUGUAUAUGGUAGGGGAGCGUUCUGUAAGCCUGUGAAGGUGACUUGUAAAGGUUGCUGGAGGUAUCAGAAGUGCGAAUGUUGACAUGAGUAGCGAUAAAGCGGGUGAAAAGCCCGCUCGCCGAAAGCCCAAGGUUUCCUACGCAACGUUCAUCGGCGUAGGGUGAGUCGGCCCCUAAGGCGAGGCAGAAAUGCGUAGUCGAUGGGAAACAGGUUAAUAUUCCUGUACUUUGAUUCAAUGCGAUGUGGGGACGGAGAAGGUUAGGUUAGCAAACUGUUGGAAUAGUUUGUUUAAGCCAGUAGGUGGAAAGAGUAGGCAAAUCCGCUCUUUCUUAACACCGAGACGUGAUGACGAGUGUCUACGGACAUGAAGUGACCAAUACCACGCUUCCAGGAAAAGCCACUAAGCUUCAGUUGAAUCAGAACCGUACCGCAAACCGACACAGGUGGGCAGGAUGAGAAUUCUAAGGCGCUUGAGAGAACUCGGGAGAAGGAACUCGGCAAAUUGAUACCGUAACUUCGGGAGAAGGUAUGCCCUCUAAUGUUAAGGACUUGCUCCGUAAGCAUUUGAGGGUCGCAGAGAAUCGGUGGCUGCGACUGUUUAUUAAAAACACAGCACUCUGCUAACACGAAAGUGGACGUAUAGGGUGUGACGCCUGCCCGGUGCUGGAAGGUUAAUUGAAGAUGUGCAAGCAUCGGAUCGAAGCCCCAGUAAACGGCGGCCGUAACUAUAACGGUCCUAAGGUAGCGAAAUUCCUUGUCGGGUAAGUUCCGACCCGCACGAAUGGCGUAACGAUGGCCACACUGUCUCCUCCCGAGACUCAGCGAAGUUGAAAUGGUUGUGAAGAUGCAAUCUCCCCGCUGCUAGACGGAAAGACCCCGUGAACCUUUACUGUAGCUUUGCAUUGGACUUUGAAGUCACUUGUGUAGGAUAGGUGGGAGGCUUUGAAGCAGAGACGCCAGUCUCUGUGGAGCCGUCCUUGAAAUACCACCCUGGUGACUUUGAGGUUCUAACCCAGACUCGUUAUCCGGGUCGGGGACCGUGCAUGGUAGGCAGUUUGACUGGGGCGGUCUCCUCCCAAAGAGUAACGGAGGAGUUCGAAGGUUACCUAGGUCCGGUCGGAAAUCGGACUGAUAGUGCAAUGGCAAAAGGUAGCUUAACUGCGAGACCGACAAGUCGAGCAGGUGCGAAAGCAGGACAUAGUGAUCCGGUGGUUCUGAAUGGAAGGGCCAUCGCUCAACGGAUAAAAGGUACUCCGGGGAUAACAGGCUGAUUCCGCCCAAGAGUCCAUAUCGACGGCGGAGUUUGGCACCUCGAUGUCGGCUCAUCACAUCCUGGGGCUGUAGUCGGUCCCAAGGGUAUGGCUGUUCGCCAUUUAAAGUGGUACGUGAGCUGGGUUUAAAACGUCGUGAGACAGUUUGGUCCCUAUCUGCAGUGGGCGUUGGAAGUUUGACGGGGGCUGCUCCUAGUACGAGAGGACCGGAGUGGACGAACCUCUGGUGUACCGGUUGUUUCGCCAGAAGCAUAGCCGGGUAGCUAAGUUCGGAAGAGAUAAGCGCUGAAAGCAUCUAAGCGCGAAACUCGCCCAAAGAUGAGACUUCCCUUGUGGUUUAACCAUACUAAAGAGUCGUUCGAGACCAGGACGUUGAUAGGUUGGGUGUGGAAGAGUGGUAACACUUGAAGCUAACCAAUACUAAUUGCUCGUGAGGCUUGACUCU